rnacentral:lncRNA from 1 species
UUUCACAAGUCAAAUAAGGCAAAGCAUGCAAGUUGAAAGCUCAUAGAAGCAACAGAAUGAACAAAUCCACAUUAAUUCCAAAAUGAUUCAAUAAAUCCCAAGAAAAACCAUGGCUAAACAGAACUCAUCACAUGAUCAACAUACCAUAAAUCAAGGCAUUUGGACAAGUUUAAGCGUGGCAAUCAAAUUCAUCAAGUCAAGGUA